CCGCGUCCUGCAGGGUGCGCCUGCGCAGGAGCGUGGGAGCCCGGGGAGGGCGAGGCGGCGACUUCCUCACCCACGUGGUCUCGGGAACGCUGCAGGUUCUUUCCGCCCCACCUCUGUGGAGUCAUAAAAACGACCAUUCACUAGACGGAUACGUUGCUUUGGUUCAGCACCAAUGCUCAUCAGAAGAGGACUGAAGAGCCCCUGAAUGGACAUGGCUACGCAGUGGAGGACAGACAGUGGGUAGGCGGUGUAUGUAGGAGAGGAAAGGAAAGCCGAGGGAGACCAGGGAAGACUCGGAUGUUACAUCGGCAAUGAAUUUUGGAUUACCUUUACAAUCACUCUC